AUUGAACGCUGGCGGCAGGCCUAACACAUGCAAGUCGAGCGGAUGAAGGGAGCUUGCUCCUGGAUUCAGCGGCGGACGGGUGAGUAAUGCCUAGGAAUCUGCCUGUUAGUGGUGGAUAACGUCCGAACACGGGCGCUAAUACCGCAUACGUCCUGACGGCGUACGUGGGAGAUCUUCGGACCUCACGCUAUCACAUGAGCCGAGGUCGGAUUAGCUAGUUGGUGGGGUAAAGGCCUACCAAGGCGACGAUCCGUAACUGGUCUGAGAGGAUGAUCAGUCACACUGGAACUGAGACACGGUCCAGACUCCUACGGGAGGCAGCAGUGGGGAAUAUUGGACAAUGGGCGAAAGCCUGAUCCAGCCAUGCCGCGUGGGUGAAGAAGGUCUUCGGAUUGUAAAGCACUUUAGUUGGGGAAGAAGGGCAGUAAGUUAAUACCUCGCUGUUUUGACGGUACCAAAAGAAUAAGCACCGGCUAACUUCGUG
rnacentral:rRNA from 1 species